rnacentral:rRNA from 1 species
GAUGAACGCUGGCGGCGUGCCUAAUACAUGCAAGUCGAGCGAACAGACGAGGAGCUUGCUCCUCUGACGUUAGCGGCGGACGGGUGAGUAACACGUGGAUAACCUACCUAUCAGACUGGGAUAACUUCGGGAAACCGGAGCUAAUACCGGAUAAUAUAUUGAACCGCAUGGUUCAAUAGUGAAAGACGGUUUUGCUGUCACUUAUAGAUGGAUCCGCGCCGCAUUAGCUAGUUGGUAAGGUAACGGCUUAUCAAGGCGACGAUGCGUAGCCGACCUGAGAGGGUGAUCGGCCACACUGGAACUGAGACACGGUCCAGACUCCUACGGGAGGCAGCAGUAGGGAAUCUUCCGCAAUGGGCGAAAGCCUGACGGAGCAACGCCGCGUGAGUGAUGAAGGUCUUCGGAUCGUAAAACUCUGUUAUUAGGGAAGAACAAAUGUGUAAGUAACUAUGCACGUCUUGACGGUACCUGAUCAGAAAGCCACGGCUAACUACGUG